rnacentral:pre_miRNA from 1 species
AGGGGGAGCACCGGAUCUUUAGCUGUGUUCCUCAGCGCCCUGGGCUCCGGGGCCUGCGCCACUGGAAUCGCGCUCUGGGGCGUGCAGCCCCCU